GACGAACGCUGGCGGCGUGCCUAAUACAUGCAAGUCGAGCGCAGGAAACCGUCUGAACCCUUCAGGGGGACGACGGCGGAAUGAGCGGCGGACGGGUGAGUAACACGUAAAGAACCUGCCCACGGGUCUGGGAUAACCACGAGAAAUCGGGGCUAAUACCGGACGGGUCAUCGGACCGCAUGGUCCGAGGAUGAAAGGCGCUCCGGCGUCGCCCGUGGAUGGCUUUGCGGUGCAUUAGCUAGUUGGUGGGGUAACGGCCCACCAAGGCGACGGUGCAUAGCCGACCGGGGAGGGUGAUCGGCCACACUGGGACUGGGACACGGCCCAGACUCCUACGGGAGGCAGCAGUAGGGAAUCUUCCACAAUGGACGAAAGUCUGAUGGAGCAACGCCGCGUGAACGAUGAAGGCCCUCGGGUCGUAAAGUUCUGUUGUAAGGGAAGAACAAGUGCCGCAGGCAAUGGCGGCACCUUGACGGUACCUUGCGAGAAAGCCACGGCUAACUACGUGCCAGCCGCCGCCGUAA
rnacentral:rRNA from 1 species